rnacentral:tRNA from 1 species
CAAAAUAUAGCUUAACCAA